rnacentral:rRNA from 1 species
UACGUAGGGUCCGAGCGUUGUCCGGAAUUACUGGGCGUAAAGAGCUCGUAGGCGGUUUGUCGCGUCUGCUGUGAAAACCCGAGGCUCAACCUCGGGCCUGCAGUGGGUACGGGCAGACUAGAGUGCGGUAGGGGAGAUUGGAAUUCCUGGUGUAGCGGUGGAAUGCGCAGAUAUCAGGAGGAACACCGAUGGCGAAGGCAGAUCUCUGGGCCGUAACUGACGCUGAGGAGCGAAAGCAUGGGGAGCGAACAGG